GUGAAUUGAAUAUGUUAGCGGACCUCUUCGGAGUCCCUAGCAUCAAAUCAUAUCCAUAACACCUGUGAACUGCAAGGCUGUCUUGAAAACGAAAGUGAUUAGAGCGCCUGCCCAUUUUAUACAAACAUUAAAGUAACAAACGUAGUCUUAUUAUAAUCUAAU
rnacentral:misc_RNA from 1 species